ACGGGAGGCAGCAGUGAGGAAUAUUGGUCAAUGGGCGAGAGCCUGAACCAGCCAAGUAGCGUGCAGGAUGACGGCCCUAUGGGUUGUAAACUGCUUUUAUGUGAGAGUAAAGAUAGCCACGUGUGGCUAGUUGCAUGUAUCACAUGAAUAAGGACCGGCUAAUUCCGUGCCAGCAGCCGCGGUAAUACGGAAGGUCCGGGCGUUAUCCGGAUUUAUUGGGUUUAAAGGGAGCGUAGGCGGCCUUUUAAGCGUGUUGUGAAAUGUCCCGGCUCAACCGUGGCACUGCAGCGCGAACUGGAGGGCUUGAGUGCGCCGGAAGUAGGCGGAAUUCGUUGUGUAGCGGUGAAAUGCUUAGAUAUGACGAAGAACUCCGAUCGCGAAGGCAGCUUACUGUCGCGUAACUGACGCUGAAGCUCGAAAGUGCGGGUAUCGAACAGGAUUAGAUACCCUGGUA
rnacentral:rRNA from 1 species